UUGAGGUGUGGCUUCCGGAGCUAACGCGUUAAAUCGACCGCCUGGGGAGUACGGCCGCAAGGUUAAAACUCAAAUGAAUUGACGGGGGCCCGCACAAGCGGUGGAGCAUGUGGUUUAAUUCGAUGCAACGCGAAGAACCUUACCUGGUCUUGACAUCCACAGAACUUAGCAGAGAUGCUUUGGUGCCUUCGGGAACUGUGAGACAGGUGCUGCAUGGCUGUCGUCAGCUCGUGUUGUGAAAUGUUGGGUUAAGUCCCGCAACGAGCGCAACCCUUAUCCUUUGUUGCCAGCGGUUCGGCCGGGAACUCAAAGGAGACUGCCAGUGAUAAACUGGAGGAAGGUGGGGAUGACGUCAAGUCAUCAUGGCCCUUACGACCAGGGGUACACACGUGCUACAAUGG
rnacentral:rRNA from 1 species